GACGAACGCUGGCGGCGUGCUUAACACAUGCAAGUCGAGGGACCGGCGCACGGGUGAGUAACACGUAUCCAACCUGCCCUUUACUCGGGGAUAGCCUUUCGAAUGAAAGAUUAAUACCCGAUAUAAAGGAUGGGGAUGCGUUGCAUUAGGUUGUUGGUGAGGUAACGGCCCACCAAGCCUUCGAUGGAUAGGGGUUCAGAGGGGAAGGACCCCCAGAAUGGAACUGAGGCACGGUCCAAACUGGUAGGGGGGGGAGCGGUGAGGAAUAGUGGUGAAGGGGCGUUAGCCUGAACCAGCCAAGUAGCGGGAAGGGUGAAGGGGUUUGGGUCGUAAACUUGUUUUGUAGAAGAAUAGGUAUUAUAAGAAUAAGGAUCGGCUAACUCCGUGCUAGCAGCCGCGGUAAUAC
rnacentral:rRNA from 1 species